UCGACCCUCGCAGUCGAGUCCCCGGCCUUCGCAGGGGGCGGUCAGCACCUGUGUCUCUCCGCAUCAGGUAACCUUCACCUGUGCACUCAGAAGAUGAAAACAGGAGUCCCCGAGUCUUCACCGAACCCGUGCUGACUUUCCCGAACCCUGGAGGAAGGCGUAGCCGGGCCUGGGAGCCAUCAGGAAUCAGAGAUAACAGCAGAGAUAACAGACCUCACCUCUCGAUGAGUGGAACUAUGUGCCAGGCUGGUGUUUCUCCUUUACUUCCCGGAGCAACUCAACGAAGUUGAGAUAAACUAAACGUCUCCCCCUCCGAAGAUGGGGAAACGGAGGCUCAGGGAGGUGUGGGCUUGGUGAGUAACACAGAGGUGUCGAAUGACAAUGUGGUACACGGGAAACUAAUAUAACAUCGUAUGCUAACUACACCGGAAUUAAAAUUUUAGGAAAAAUAA